ACGGAGCAAAAGCGACGUUCAACCGCAAAAGAAGCAGAGGGGGCUUAGUGGUGGGGUGACUGCGUACCUUUUGUAUAAUGGGUCAGCGACUUAUAUUCUGUAGCAAGGUUAACCGAAUAGGGGAGCCGUAGGGAAACCGAGUCUUAACCGGGCGUUAAGUUGCAGGGUAUAGACCCGAAACCCGGUGAUCUAGCCAUGGGCAGGUUGAAGGUUGGGUAACACUAACUGGAGGACCGAACCGACUAAUGUUGAAAAAUUAGCGGAUGACCUGUGGCUGGGGGUGAAAGGCCAAUCAAACCGGGAGAUAGCUGGUUCUCCCCGAAAGCUAUUUAGGUAGCGCCUCGUGAAUUCAUCUCCGGGGGUAGAGCACUGUUUCGGCUAGGGGGCCAUCCCGGCUUACCAACCCGAUGCAAACUGCGAAUACCGGAGAAUGUUAUCACGGGAGACACACGGCGGGUGCUAACGUCCGUCGUGAAGAGGGAAACAACCCAGACCGCCAGCUAAGGUCCCAAAGUCAUGGUUAAGUGGGAAACGAUGUGGGAAGGCCCAGACAGCCAGGAUGUUGGCUUAGAAGCAGCCAUCAUUUAAAGAAAGCGUAAUAGCUCACUGGUCGAGUCGGCCUGCGCGGAAGAUGUAACGGGGCUAAACCAUGCACCGAAGCUGCGGCAGCGAACGUAUCACUUAAAGCGAUUCAGCGGGUUCGAUUGACGGAGCGAAGCGACGUCAAAGCGUAUACAAAGUCGAGUCGGUUUAAGGAUACGUUCGUUGGGUAGGGGAGCGUUCUGUAAGCCUGCGAAGGUGGCCUGUGAGGGUUGCUGGAGGUAUCAGAAGUGCGAAUGCUGACAUAAGUAACGAUAAAGCGGGUGAAAAGCCCGCUCGCCGGAAGACCAAGGGUUCCUGUCCAACGUUAAUCGGGGCAGGGUGAGUCGACCCCUAAGGCGAGGCCGAAAGGCGUAGUCGAUGGGAAACGGGUUAAUAUUCCCGUACUUGGUGUUACUGCGAAGGGGGGACGGAGAAGGCUAUGUUGGCCGGGCGACGGUUGUCCCGGUUUAAGCGUGUAGGCUGGUUUUCCAGGCAAAUCCGGAAAAUCAAGGCUGAGGCGUGACGACGAGGCACUACGGUGCUGAAGCAACAAAUGCCCUGCUUCCAGGAAAAGCCUCUAAGCAUCAGGUAACACGAAAUCGUACCCCAAACCGACACAGGUGGUCAGGUAGAGAAUACCAAGGCGCUUGAGAGAACUCGGGUGAAGGAACUAGGCAAAAUGGUGCCGUAACUUCGGGAGAAGGCACGCUGACACGUAGGUGAAGUGAUUUACUCAUGGAGCUGAAGUCAGUCGAAGAUACCAGCUGGCUGCAACUGUUUAUUAAAAACACAGCACUGUGCAAACACGAAAGUGGACGUAUACGGUGUGACGCCUGCCCGGUGCCGGAAGGUUAAUUGAUGGGGUCAGCGCAAGCGAAGCUCCUGAUCGAAGCCCCGGUAAACGGCGGCCGUAACUAUAACGGUCCUAAGGUAGCGAAAUUCCUUGUCGGGUAAGUUCCGACCUGCACGAAUGGCGUAAUGAUGGCCAGGCUGUCUCCACCCGAGACUCAGUGAAAUUGAACUCGCUGUGAAGAUGCAGUGUACCCGCGGCAAGACGGAAAGACCCCGUGAACCUUUACUAUAGCUUGACACUGAACAUUGAGCCUUGAUGUGUAGGAUAGGUGGGAGGCUUUGAAGCGUGGACGCCAGUCUGCGUGGAGCCGACCUUGAAAUACCACCCUUUAAUGUUUGAUGUUCUAACGU
rnacentral:rRNA from 1 species